rnacentral:rRNA from 1 species
AGCGCGUAUGAAGUCAGUGGCAAUAGACCCGAAACCGGGUGACCUAUCCAUGGGCAGGUUGAAGUGGGGGUAAAACCCCAUGGAGGACCGAACACACGCCCGUUGCAAUGGUCGGUGAUGACCUGUGGAUAGCGGUGAAAUUCCAAUCGAACUCGGAGAUAGCUGGUUCUCCCCGAAAUAGCUUUAGGGCUAGCGUUAACUUAGAUUACCGGAGGUAAAGCACUGAAUGGGCUAGGGGCCGAUAAGGUUACUGAACCCUAUCAAACUCUGAAUGCCGGAUAAUUGAUGGUUAGCAGUCAGUCUACGUGAGAUAAGUCUCGUGGACAAAAGGGAAACAGCCCAGACCCACAGCUAAGGUCCCAAAGAUACGCUAAGUGGAAAACGAUGUGGAGUUGCGAAAACAACCAGGAUGUUGGCUUAGAAGCAGCCACUCAUUAAAAGAGUGCGUAAUAGCUCACUGGUCGAGUGACUCUGCGCGGAAAAUAUAACGGGGCUAAGCGUAACACCGAAGCUUGGGCUGCGCAGCAAUGCGCGGGGUAGGGGAGCGUCGUGUACGGGGUGAAGUCGUAGCGGAAGCAGCGGUGGACUUUACACGAGUGAGAAUGCCGGAAUGAGUAGCGAGAAUUAUGUGGGAAUCAUAAUGGCCGAAAAUCUAAGGUUUCCUGGGGAAGGUUCGUCCGCCCAGGGUAAGCCGGGAGCUAAGGCGAGGCCGAAAGGCGUAGUCGAUGCACAUACGGUUGAAAUUCCGUAGCCACCGAACCUUAAGCACACUGACACAUGGAGAUAGCGGGACCCGGGCGUUGGUUGACCCGGGCGUAAGGGACCGAAAUUAAGUAGGGAAGUCCGCGAUGCUCUGUGGCGAGAAAAGGUGUGUGGUAUGCUAAGGUGCCCGUACCGCAAACCGACACAGGUAGAUGAGGAGAGAAUCCUAAGGCCAACGGGAGAAGGGU